rnacentral:lncRNA from 1 species
AGUUCUCCUUUACUUUUUACUAGACAAUUUCACCUUAAUCCAAUCCCCUCUUGCAGUUAAUAAUUCUUUUAACUUUCCUUAUUCAAAUUUCCCUGUGGUAUUUCUCUUUAUUUGAUUCUGAUUUAUAUAGGUGGCUACUAGUAUUUAUUCUCUGAUGAUCCUGAGAAAGAAAAAAAGCAAGAGGAAAAGGUUGGAGCUAGACACCUUUGCAUUUGGAUUCCAGUUCUUUCAGCCUUCCAACAAACCCUUCAGCCUUCCAACAUGGACUCACACCAGACUCUGAAGUGAGCUCCAGGCCUUUGACUUUCCACUGGAUCCUCCAACUCUUCAGCACACAGGCAGCAAUUUUGCAUUCUCCUACUCUGAUUCCACUGUAAGACUACUUGGUAAAGCAUAUAUAUUCUGUCCUGCUAGUGAACCCUAAUGGAUAAAAUAUUCUGUUGAGAGGACUGUUCACUCAAGUUACACUUGAUUAAAAUGUCCUUGUUGUUAUUUAGUGAAAAAAGUGUCCUUAAUGGUACAUGUGGGCUGCUAUUGCCAAAGACAUGUGGGGGUGGGGGAAGGCACCAGGUGAU